rnacentral:rRNA from 1 species
UACGUAGGGUGCGAGCGUUGUCCGGAAUUAUUGGGCGUAAAGAGCUCGUAGGCGGUUUGUCACGUCUGCUGUGAAAUCCCGAGGCUCAACCUCGGGCCUGCAGUGGGUACGGGCAGACUGGAGUGCGGUAGGGGAGAAUGGAAUUCCUGGUGUAGCGGUGGAAUGCGCAGAUAUCAGGAAGAACACCCGUGGCGAAGGCGGCUCUCUGGGACGGUACUGACGCUGAGACGCGAAAGCGUGGGGAGCGAACAGG